AAUAGAUACCCGGGUAGUCCACGCCGUAAACGAUGGAUGCUAGCUGUUAGGAGUAUCGACCCCCUAGUAGCGCAGCUAACGCGUUAAGCAUCCCGCCUGUGGAGUACGGUCGCAAGACUAAAACAUAAAGGAAUUGACGGGGACCCGCACGAGCGGUGGAGCGUGUUGUUUAAUUCGAUGGUAAGCGAAGAACCUUACCCAGGCUUGACAUCCUGCCAAGUUCUCCGAAAGGAGAGUGUGCCUUCGGGCCGCAGUGACAGGUGAUGCAUGGCCGUCGUCAGCUCGUGUCGUGAGAUGUUUGGUUAAGUCCAUCAACGAGCGCAACCCUUAUAGUUAGUUGUAUUUCUCUAGCUAGACUGCCCUGGUAACAGGGAGGAAGGGGGGAUGAUGUCAGGUCAGUAUUUCCCCUACGUCUGGGGCUACAAACACGCUACAAUGGCCGGUACAAAGGGCAGCCAACCCGCGAGGGGGAGCAAAUCCCAUCAAAACCGGUCUCAGUUCGGAUUGUAGGCUGAAACCCGCCUGCAUGAAG
rnacentral:rRNA from 1 species